UAACACUGAAUGGGGGUUGCUUAUGGCUAGUAUUUCUGAAGAUACUGGUGAAGAAACACCAUUGCAGGUGCGCCUAAAUGGAGUUGCAACUUUCAUUGGUAUUGUUGGACUGACGGUGGCUUUUCUUGUCUUGGUUGUCCUUCUAGUCAGAUACUUUACUGGCCAUUCCAAGAAUGCAGAUGGAACACCUCAGUUUCAAGCGGGUAAAACUAGUGUUGGUGAUGCA
rnacentral:misc_RNA from 1 species